GACAGAGGGGGCAAGCGUUGUCCGGAGUUACUGGGCGUAAAGCGCGCGUAGGCGGUACGGUAAGUAAGGUGUGAAAGCCCCAGGCUUAACCUGGGGAGGUCAUCUUCGACUGCCGCACUCGAGUCGUGCAGAGGGUGGUGGAAUUGCCGGUGUAGUGGUGAAAUGCGUAGAGAUCGGCAGGAACACCAAGGGCGAAAGCAGCCACCUGGGCACGCACUGACGCUGAGGUGCGAAAGCGUGGGGAGCGAACCGG
rnacentral:rRNA from 1 species